GCCCGGGUCCAGAUUUCAAUACCAAAAUUUACUGUAUUAUUUGGUUAUAUAGCUACGUCUUGCCACUUAAAGAGAACUGCGUUGAAGAUGCCAAGAUCAAGCUAAGCUUCAAAAACAAGGACUUGGACAUUUUUACAUUUUUACUUCCCAUCAAGGAAACAUAAUCAAUCUAUCUUUUGAGGGCCUUAUUUAAGUCCACCGUAUUUGUGGUCCGCCGUAUUUGUUGCCAAAGAUAAUCUAGCUAAGCAAAUACGCGACCUUAUGAUGUCACUUGCAAUGAAUAACAUUAAUAACUACAUAAAAUCUCUGCCUGCACUCACUACGGACGGAUAACUGAAAGCUCUCCAUCGUGACCUCAUGUUCUUUGCCAUCCUAUUAUGCACCAUGAAUUAUGCACCAUGAAUAUUUUGUCCCCCGAAAAUUACCUUCACUGGUAGCCAGGCUACGCACAGGGACUUAGCCAAAUCAUCUGAAAUAUCAAUGUUGCUUGAUUGUCAUCAUAGCAGCUCAUAGCAGCUCAUAUCAUCAUCAUCUGUGCUGAAUCAGUCGCUUGCCACUUGCUUUGCAGUACUUGCAGUUUCUGGCCAUGACAAAUAUCCCCACAUCAAUCGCCUCGAUUUGAAAAACCAGAACGAGGAAGCUCAUCUCAAUUCGAUUCAGGGUGUGUCGAUUCAGGGUGUGUUUCAGGGUGUGUUUCGAUUCAGGGUGUGUUUGGUAUUGGUACUAGUUGGCCUUUUCCUGUACUUCUGCUAAGGGGUUAUUAAAACGACGACAUUAACAGACACUUAUCGUAUGUUUCGUAGAUCCAUCAAAAGUACUCUCUGAAGCUUCUACUAUCGUGUGCUUCGUCCUUUUUUAUGACACAAUUUCUUAACACUUUUUAAGCUGAGAGUUCCCCAUCAAAGUGAUCGAAUUGAUCGACUUCUACAUCAUCGACGAGGGGGGGUGUUGUUUCCUUGCCAUUGUGAACACUAAAGAUUUCUGUAUACAAAGUUUACAAAGUUUCUUGUGGCCGAUACUUCCUGCAACGUCACCUUGAUUAAAGUGUCACCUUGAUUCUGCCAAGAAUCAGGCACGAGUACUACCACUGCUUACGUCAGCCAAGAUUCACUGUUUAUAAAUGUCAUGCGCAACAUAGGCGCUAUUUUAAUCGGCUUCUUCAUGCGAAGAGGAAGUGAAUGGGGAACUAAGGAAUGUGUUCAUAGGGGAACACGCAGAUACAAGAGUACUGAUGAACAUGCGAUAUGUAUCCGGGUAGGUCAGCGAGACUUUUGUACAAACCCAUUCGGGUAGGGGUGUGAAGACUCCCCGGCUCCACACUCGAUCUUUCUGACCCUUUGUCCGUAUGGUAUUAUUUCGAGGGUAUAAAUUUUCGCGGAAUGACUGUUACAAAUGUUUUACAAAUGUUUUUGGGGAAUAGGGGUACGGUAGACUCACCGAGGCAUCAGCGUUAGUACAGCAGUGGACAUCAUGAGGCGUCUGACCCGUGAGAAUAUUGAGAACACAACCUUCAUACAAAACAAUCGCUAAUUAGGGGGGGUGGUCAGUUGCUAGGUACAUUCAUAUUCAUAUUGUGGUAUCCUUACGACAUGGAACUAACAUUAGAUAAAGACUGUGAUUCCGGAAAUACUGUGUUGUGUUAGUUCUAGUGGUUUCAUGUUCUUAUUUAGUUGGUAUAAACAGCCUGUGUAUUUUGUGAGUUCUGAUUUAAUAAAUUAUUGAAGUUAUCUCACUGGCGACGAGGAUUGUGGAUCAAGUACCCUACAGCCACACACUAUGGGACCAGACCAAGAGUCCUACCUGGAUCAGGUAGACCUCUACCUCACGGAUAAGCAAUCCAUUGGUGCAACGACCUACAGUCUUCUAUGUGACUUGCUUGCACCCGAGGCGAAGACGAAGUUCGCCUCAGGGAGAAAUAUUUGCUGCACUAUGGAAGCACUACGAACCGACACGAGCGGUGAUCGCAGAACGUUUUCAUUUUCAAAAAAGGGCCCUGACGAAUCUUUAGCAGAAUACGAUGCAGCUCUACGCAAGCUGGCAACACACUGCAAUUUUGGGGCGUAUCCCCUACGUGACCGUUUCGUUGCAGGACUCCGAAGCGAAGCAAGACGAGAGCAAUGAAAAUCGCACAGGAGAGAGCAACACCAGAGCGCUCAAGGCCAGCAACCCAGAACAUACAAAGCAAAAGGAGACCGCAGCCAUGUUACCACUGUGGAAAGUCGAAUCACUCCGCAGCGUUUCAAGGAUGCAGAGUGUCACUCAUGUGGAAAGCAGGGACCAGCCUGCCGCCCAACCCACCCUUUGAUGCCGUAUCGAGUAGGUCAUGAUGAGGUAGAGUGACGCCCAAUCCUCUGUUUGAUUCAGUCACGUUGCUUUUGAGUUGCUUGUGUCAGGCGAUUCUACAAUGUAUAACUUGAUAAACAGAAUAAGUGCUUCAUACGCCAAGUACGUACCUGUAGUUGACUUUGCUGACAUGAGUGGUACUGACAGUACUGUUUUUAAGUCGUUGAUCCUUCAAGGCAUGGCGUAGCGAGACACAAGCAGAGCACCACAGAGCACCGGAUACUAGUAAAACCUAGCAAUAGUUGACAAUCAGUGUGCCGGACCAAUCAGUGUGCCGGACAGAAGGUGCGCCACUAAAUGAGCCCUGUCUUCUUGAACUGAGAGGGUGGGUUGGAGGAAACCACUUUCCUCAAAGAUCUUUCUCCUAAUUCAUUUGCCAACUUGACGCUGCAACAAAGAAGAACGCACGAAGUAUGGUUUUCGACAAACAUUCUGGUGCCAUGAUUGGAUUUAAAAGAGCAUUGAAGAUGACAAACUCGUAAAACCUAAGCUAGCGAAGACAAUGAUGGUAUUCAUGGUUCGUGGUCUGUUCAGCAGUCUUAAGUUUCCAUAUGCCCAAUUUCCAUGUGUUGACCUCUCUGGUGAUCUUCUUUAUGACCCAUUCUGGGAGGCAGUAAGAAAUUGCGGCUUGAAGGUGCUUGGAGCAACACUGGAUGGGAACUCAGUUAAUCGAAGACUCGUCAAGCUGCACCAGCCGUUGUCCUGUACAGAUUUAAUCUACAAGGUGAAAACCCACAUGCACCACAAGGUUGCCGAGAUUUUUUUUUUUAUCUCGGACCCACCUCAUUUGGUAAAGACUGUGAGAAAUUGCUGGCAGUCAAAGCACCGUCAAAGCACCGUUUGCUCUGGGUAAGUCUGAAAUUAACUUGUACACUGUGCAAGGGGUCAGCUGGUCUCACCUAACCAGCCUCUACAACAGGGAUGCAAACCGGAUAAGAAUGGUUCCCAAACUUAAAUUUGAACAUAUCCAGCUGACAUCGUUUUCUAAGAUGAGGGUCGACCUUUCUGCCCAGGUGUUGAGUUGAUCUGUGUCCAAAGUCCUAAAGCUUACUGGAGGGGAAGAAGUGUCGGAGACAGUAAAGUUCACUUAGAUGAUGGACAAGUUCUUUGAUGCCUGCACAACUACACGCAUGGUCUGUAUUCUCGGAAAGUUUUCCAAAUGCCCUAUGUUAACAAAGAAGACUUCCGCUUGAAAUCUGCGUGUAUAUGUACAGUGUGCAUAUCCUACUGCUGCAGUGGCUUGAGAAUGACUUUCUUUCCUCUGGGAGAAAUCAGUGAAAGAGCGCUCUGGAUUUACCAAGACAGCUAUGAACUCAAUGCUACUAAGUCGUGAAACAAUCCUGGGACUCAAGAUGACUACUAAAUCGUUUGUGGAGCUUGUUUGCUACUUAUUUAAAGUGCCUGGUGUGGAGUCAUUUUUGAGUCAUUUUUGAGUCAGCGUAUUUGUCAAGAUCCCUUGGAACGGUUCUUUGGAACACAGAGACAGCGUGGAGGAGUCCAUGACAACCCGAAGAACACCCAGGCACUCAGGGUGAUACAGAAUACAGAAUACUCCAGCUGUUUUGAAAGGAAAUUGUCGUGGAGGAACACAAGAUGUAUGUGUCGACAAAUUAUCAACUCCACUCCCAAAGCGUCAACGAAGAACAAAGUCAAAACACUUAGGCCUGUACUGAGUUAUGAACAACUUAAUUUUAACACUAUGUGAACUCUGCACUUUAAAAAUUUAUUAUCUAUCAAUACCUGUCAAAGCACAAUGAUAGUGAGCAUAAUAAUUCAGUAAAGUUUAAAAUGGAAUCUAGUCUUCUUUUGGAAAGUGUAUAUGACUCCCAGCUCUCUCGAAAUGGAACACCUACAAGAAGCAAAAAUAUUUGAAAAUGAACUGGUUGCUUCCCUUAGUAAAUGUUUUGAUACGAAGAAAGCUAAAAUAAAGGCAAGCAGAGAAGCAAUGUGGUCAGCUUACCACACACUCCGUACCUCUGAACCCUAUUUCCAUGAAUGGCACUGUUUCUUGCAGCAAGCUGGGUCCACAGAGCUAUCCACUGCCUUUAUCCAGUUUGUUGUCUUCAAGAACCUAAUCAAUUCCAGUUGACGGUUGGAAAAUGAACAGCAAUGACACUGACAGAUGAAGAGACUUACGGGCUCAGGUACGCAGCUGGAUACAUCCCACGAAUGCUGAAAAAGAAACUCAUGAAGUCCUUGAAAAGGAGCCUCCUACUCUGCCUCUGGGACUUACUGGAUGAAGGUGACGAGAAAACUGCUGAUUCUGCUGAUUCUGCAGCCUGGGUCGAAGCUGGGUCGAAGCUGUCAAUCGGGGUGGACUAACAAGAGUCACGUAUGAUGUCUUCCAGGCCAUGGAGCUUGAAAUCAGGAAGCAUCUAACGAAAGAGACAAUUCCCACACUAACAGAUCCAUCAAUAGCUCCAUCAUUGCCAAUGAUGAUGUUCAGUUCUUCGGUCCAUAGUGGGUGCUGACUGGGAAGAAGAAUGCUCGGCUACGCUCUUGGAGAUGACAGUGAGCCAGUGGGUGAAAAUCCGUGGAUUUUCAUAUGCAAGUGCCUGGAUGGAGGAGUACAAAUCUACACAGAAAAAAACAACACAGAAAUCAAAGGGGAUACGGAAACAGUUAGUUCCCCAACCAAAGAACUAACAAUGACUCACUGUAGCUCAGCUCAUAAUCAUUCACACAGCUCUCCAGUGAUCCCCUUUCAUUAGUGCAGUAGAUAUUCCUCCAUUAUCUAUGCCUUCCUUCUCUAGUAUAUAUCAUGAUCAUGCCUUCUAUAGCUUAGCUAGCUAGCUACUAGAAUAAUUGCAAGCUCAGCACUUUAUUGGACCAGCCAGGUAGACGGUCCGUGUGAAAUAGUGCUAAUUGCCUGCGUUUCCAAUCCCCUUCCUCUACUAUCUAUGCUUCUACACAGCCAAGAUGGAAAUCGAUACCGGAGCUGCAAUAUCUAUUAUCUCUGAGGCCACCAGGUUCUCUAAAUUCAA